rnacentral:rRNA from 1 species
GCCUUGAGAUCGGAGUGCUUGCACUCUGUGAAACAAGAUACAGGCUAGCGGCGGACGGGUGAGUAACACGUGGGUAACCUGCCCAAGAGAUCGGGAUAACACCUGGAAACAGAUGCUAAUACCGGAUAACAACAGAUGAUGCCUAUCAACUGUUUAAAAGAUGGUUCUGCUAUCACUCUUGGAUGGACCUGCGGUGCAUUAGCUAGUUGGUAGGGUAACGGCCUACCAAGGCGAUGAUGCAUAGCCGAGUUGAGAGACUGAUCGGCCACAUUGGGACUGAGACACGGCCCAAACUCCUACGGGAGGCAGCAGUAGGGAAUCUUCCACAAUGGACGCAAGUCUGAUGGAGCAACGCCGCGUGAGUGAAGAAGGGUUUCGGCUCGUAAAGCUCUGUUGUUGGUGAAGAAGGACAGGGGUAGUAACUGACCUUUGUUUGACGGUAAUCAAUUAGAAAGUCACGGCUAACUACGUGCCAGCAGCCGCGGUAAUACGUAGGUGGCAAGCGUUGUCCGGAUUUAUUGGGCGUAAAGCGAGUGCAGGCGGCUCGAUAAGUCUGAUGUGAAAGCCUUCGGCUCAACCGGAGAAUUGCAUCAGAAACUGUCGAGCUUGAGUACAGAAGAGGAGAGUGGAACUCCAUGUGUAGCGGUGAAAUGCGUAGAUAUAUGGAAGAACACCGGUGGCGAAGGCGGCUCUCUGGUCUGUUACUGACGCUGAGGCUCGAAAGCAUGGGUAGCGAACAGGAUUAGAUACCCUGGUAGUCCAUGCCGUAAACGAUGAGUGCUAAGUGUUGGGAGGUUUCCGCCUCUCAGUGCUGCAGCUAACGCAUUAAGCACUCCCCCU